rnacentral:lncRNA from 1 species
GGAAAUCGAAUUUGCACUUCCACAUGUGAAAAACAAACUCAGAUGGUUGUAAUUUUGCAUCCCAUGUUGCACAUUUAUUUAGCAUGAGAUCGUGUUUUUACAUGUGUAGUUUCAUGUUAUCACAUGUUGCUUUUACAUGUUGUCACGUUAUUACAUUAACUUCACAUAAGAUCACAUGCGAUCAUGUGAGAUCACGUGAUCACAUUUGAAACACGUUACCACAUGAAAUUCAAGUGAGUUUUUUGUAAGGGAAAUGUCCAUGAGAGGAGGGAGAGAGCGGAUGCAUCAUGGUCAUAGGCAGGGGGGUAAGCCUCGGGAGCCUCAGUCAGACGGGUCCGGUCUCGAAGCAAUGAUGACUGUUGUCCAGAGCCGUUAAACAGUGCAAAGUCUGGUCUCUGUAGCCGGUAGCUAGCCAGCUACUCCUCGACCACCACUGAUCACUUAGCACCCACUUGGGUGAUGCCCUGGCAGCGGAAGGCUCACCGCACGUCAGUGGUAGUCCAAAGUAGCCUUACCGAGCAUUUGCGCAUACCUCUGCCAUCUCUGCUUGUACCCUUGCUUUGGCCUUGUCCGCUCUACCUCCAGCAUUUAAAUCAAAACAUAACAGGCUAGCCAGUUAGCUAGCUUGCCAAACCAACCAUCCAUCUGACUUGCUUGACAGCUUUAAAAUGCCAUGGUGGCUUUAAUAUUUUAUAAUUAUAUACACUCAGUGGCCAGUUUUUUAGGUACAUAUCUAGUACCGGAUCAGACCCCCUGUAACCAUGAAGGGAUGCACCUGGUCAGCAACAAUGUUGAAACUCGAUCCCUCCGAUGUCAACAACUACAAACCAGUAUCCCUUCUUUCUUUUCUCUCCAAAACUAUUGAACGUGCCGUCCUUGGCCAGCUCUCCUGCUAUCUCUCUCAGAAUGACCUUCUUGAUCCUAAUCAGUCAGGUUUCAAGACUGGGCAUUCAACUGAGACUGCUCUUCUCUGUGUCACGGAGGCCCUCUCCUAUUCUCGCUAUACACCAAGUCACUUGGCUCUGUCAUAUCCUCACAUGGUCUCUCCUAUCAUUGCUAUGCAGACGACACACAAUUAAUCUUCUCCUUUCCCCCUUCUGAUAACCAGGCGGCGAAUCGCAUCUCUGCAUCUCUGUCAGACAUAUCAGUGUGGAUGACGGAUCACCAGCUCAAGCUGAACCUCGGCAAGACGGAGCUGCUCUUCCUCCCGGGAAGGACUGCCCGUUCCAUGAUCUCACCAUCACGGUUGACAACUCCCUUGUGUCCUCCUCCCAGAGUGCUAAGAACCUUGGCGUGAUCCUGGACAACACCCUGUCGUUCUCCACUAACAUCAAGGCGGUGACCCGAUCCUGUAGGUUCAUGCUCUACAACAUUCGCAGAGUACGACCCUGCC